rnacentral:snoRNA from 3 species
UAGGCCCUGAAUCAAGACCAGUGGUUUGCUGUAGCUGUUGGUUUCAAACAGGAGCCAAGAGUAAUAUGUUUCUGUGGUCUGUUAGCCAUUCAGCACCCCAAUGGGAAUGGCUCUUUCAAUUAGAAGAACAUAG